rnacentral:rRNA from 1 species
GAUGAACGCUGGCGGCGUGCCUAAUACAUGCAAGUCGAGCGAACGGACGAGAAGCUUGCUUCUCUGAUGUUAGCGGCGGACGGGUGAGUAACACGUGGAUAACCUACCUAUAAGACUGGGAUAACUUCGGGAAACCGGAGCUAAUACCGGAUAAUAUUUUGAACCGCAUGGUUCAAAAGUGAAAGGCGGUCUUGCUGUCACUUAUAGAUGGAUCCGCGCUGCAUUAGCUAGUUGGUAAGGUAACGGCUUACCAAGGCAACGAUGCAUAGUCGACCUGAGAGGGUGAUCGGCCACACUGGAACUGAGACACGGUCCAGACUCCUACGGGAGGCAGCAGUAGGGAAUCUUCCGCAAUGGGCGAAAGCCUGACGGAGCAACGCCGCGUGAGUGAUGAAGGUCUUCGGAUCGUAAAACUCUGUUAUUAGGGAAGAACAUAUGUGUAAGUAACUGUGCACAUCUUGACGGUACCUAAUCAGAAAGCCACGGCUAACUACGUG